AAUUGGCGAGUCAAGCGCCUCUUCGUGAGUUUCAAAACAACCAUUUCUAUGUUUCGAUUUUAUGAUAAGGGCCCUCAAGCUUAAAAUUAGGAUUUCCACAUGUUGAUGUUUAUCCAUCGAAGCGGGAUGCUGGUGUUUAUCCGUGGCAAUCUACGUGGAUCGUAAUGUUAAAUGCAAAUAUUGCCGACUUUCAAGUUUGGCUUAAACCUUAAUUAAUGAUACUUCAGAAUCUAAAACAAAUUCAUGUUUGAGGUGCAUAAAAAGUUACUUUACACCUAAAUUUGGGAUUCACAAGUAGUAUUAGUUGACAAUCUUGUUUUUAAACAUCAGAAGUCUUAUUUAACACGGUGUGUAAUAAUUUAAAUUAAGUAAAUUUCACUCACGAAAAAAUUAAACAACAGAUAGAACAAUUCUUUAUUUUUUGAAA
rnacentral:lncRNA from 1 species